CCUACGGGGGGCUGCAGUGGGGAAUAUUGGACAAUGGGGGGAACCCUGAUCCAGCCAUGCCGCGUGUGUGAAGAAGGCCCUCGGGUUGUAAAGCACUUUCAGUGAGGAAGAACGCCUGGUGGUUAAUACCCAUCAGGAAAGACAUCACUCACAGAAGAAGCACCGGCUAACUCCGUGCCAGCAGCCGCGGUAAUACGGAGGGUGCGAGCGUUAAUCGGAAUUACUUGGCGUAAAGCGCGCGUAGGUGGCUUGAUAAGCCGGUUGUGAAAGCCCCGGGCUCAACCUGGGAACGGCAUCCGGAACUGUCAAGCUAGAGUGCAGGAGAGGAAGGUAGAAUUCCCGGUGUAGCGGUGAAAUGCGUAGAGAUCGGGAGGAAUACCAGUGGCGAAGGCGGCCUUCUGGACUGACACUGACACUGAGGUGCGAAAGCGUGGGUAGCAAACAGGAUUAGAUACCCCAGUAGUC
rnacentral:rRNA from 1 species